CCUACUGUUCACAACCUAACUCUCUUCAAAUUUUCUCUGGCGAAACAGGCGGCUCCUCUGUCCUCUUUGAUACUGCGCCCAGUCGAAGAGAACCAAAGGGCUCGAGGGGAUUCAACUACACCCCAUCUCAUCCACUUCAAAAAGUGUAAUCCCUAAAAGUUGGUUUCCUCUCACUCGUGAUUCUCCCUCCCUCACAUUUUUCUCUCGCUAUUUUUGUCGAUAUACCCUAAACGCAUACUCCCGUCUCUCAAACCAACUCGCAUUUUGUGUCCCUUGCUUCUUGGUCUGCCGCCGCCGCCGGAGUAGCCUUCACAGAGGACCAUGUCACAGGCAAUAAUAAGAACAUUGAGAUUAAACAUCCUGGAAAUAUUAGUUUUGGAACUACAGAGGUAGUAUAUAGUGUUGGAGCUUGCUCAGAGCGUAAAAGAUUCGUCGAAUUGUCAAGUGAAAAUAAGAGAAGAGAUAGAUCGACUGAAGUUGGACUGUCUACAAAGAAAAGAGGAGAAUUCGAAGGAAAUCACUGGAAAUGGCCAUUAAUAAUGACUGGAGCUAUUCUUGAAAUCUCUAGCUGUUCCCAGCCGAUACAAGUUAAUGGCUCUUCAACUUUGACACUGCAUCCUACACUGUGUUUGACGCGCUCUUGGAUUCAAGCUACAUAUGCUUGGUGAUCUUGGGGUUUCCUACUGUUUGUAGCUGAAAUUUCAGAGUGGAGACUCAACUCAGAGUUGAUUACUAAUUUUAUAUAAGUUUUAAAAUGUUAUUAUAAUUUUUUUUUGUAUUAUGUAUUUACUAUUAUAUAGAAUGAUUCUAAAAUUUGAUAAUGUAGGUGGGAAAAAUUGCAUGAAAAUUUACAAUUUUUCUUUA